AAGCCAUUGAGGAGCCAUGUUGGGUGUGGGAAUGUUGCUGGGUAGAGGCGGCGUGUUUGCAUCGCGGACGGACGGAGCUUCUCUGUAGAAAAAACGCUUGCUACAGCGUGAGCGCUGCUGGCGAUAUUUAUGACAAAGCGACCUCUUACAGGAUCCACAUCCGGGGAAUGACGUUUUUCAGUACAUCUUUCCAGGCCUGAAUCCCUCGUCCUCUAGGCACUGAUACAAGAUGUAGAGAUACUGCUAAGCUUGCUAAUGCUCGUGGAUGGGCAGUCCUGUAGUCUGCUUAGAAAGCAGGAGGAGUCCUGCGACACAUAGUGAUACGGUCUGGAUUACCAAUUGGGAUCAAUAUGUAAGCUUAAGGACCAGUAUAUGGAUUUAGUGAAUGGAUGAUGUACUGACCCCUGGAUACCAGGUGGAUAAGGAGGUUUGGUUGAGUCAGCCAGCUUUGUGGAUGCAAGUACUGUGCCAUCAAGGCACAGAGCUGACUGAGCAUGAGUGGAGACUGGGUCCAACCAGCGGUCUCAGUGAGGAAGACAGCUGACUUCAUCCAGAGGGUCUCAGGACCACUGCCACAAAGAGAUGGAGCGUGUGCAAGGAGGCGGAAGCCAAUGUAAAUGGUGCUGAUGAGGUGGAAAAGUGGAAAAAUAACCCCGAAAAUGAGAGAAAAAACUCUAGAAAAGGGGGAAUCUCCCUCCCGGAAAAUCAGAAACGGAACAGAACCCGGCGUGCCCCCACUCCACGCGUUUCCAGCCAAUCGUCCUCUGGCUCCGCAGGAAGUUUUCCUUUCCCUCUGCAAUUCCUUGCGGCAGCGCCCAGCCCCGUUUUGGAUUCGCUUUCCUUCUUUUCGCUGUUACCGAGCACUAAUUGCUGCUAACUGCACUAAUUUGUUGGAGUUGGGGUUUUCUGUGCAAUCCAGCCUGAAAGCAACGACCUUGGGACCAGCGGAUUGUCGCCCCGCUGCCACCACCCAUGUGGACGCAGGAUGUGUCCCCAGAGCUGCUGCAGCCCCUGGUGACUGUGGUGGCCACCUUGGGCAAGUUGGGGACCAUCCCUGGUGACAUCUCCCUGGGAGGGGACAUGGGCUCACUGCGGGCCAGGCUACUGACCUUCAGCUCUGGCGUGCGCAAAGCCAUGGUGCACCCAGAUGGCGAUGCCACCCUCCUCCGGCGUGCCCUGGGGGCAUCCAAGGAACAGCCCAGUGCCCCCACAGCCAUCACUGACUCGUGGCAGAACGCGGUGACUGCAGUGAAGGACAUCUGGGCCAAGCUGCAGGAGGAUGCUGCAUGCCUGAAGAAUGCCUGUGAGACUGUGGCCACUGCCAAGGCCACCAAUGAGGCCACCAAGGGCCACUUGGUGGAAGCAGUGACACGGGAGGACAAAGCACAUAAAGGGUUGAUAGCUGCCACCAGGGUGGUGCCGUUGUCCUCAGAGGUGGCCCAGGUGACAGAGGUGGUGGCAGCCCAUGAUGCGCGGGUGGCAGAGGCCAGGGAAGGGCUGCAGGCAGCCGCCAAGGCCACUGAGGAGGUGGCAGCGGCAGUGGUGGCAGCAAUAGCAGCGAAGGAGAGGGGACAACAUGCAGCAGUGGCCCAUGGGCUCCUGGAGCAGUUGGUAGCCGCCUGUAUGGGGGCCUAUAACUACUACAGUCAUGUGGAGCAUUGCCUCAGGGACAUCAAGGCCAUGGUGGGUGUCACUACUGGAGGUGGUGGCCCUGAUGUCCCCAAGGCCACCCAAGGGGACAUGGGUAUCCCCAAGGAGCUAGCAGAGAUAGUGGUGGUGGCUGAGGCGCUGUGGGACGCCAGUGCCCGCCUGGCCCAGGAGCACCUCUUGGGGACACUGCGGGGUGUUCGGAGCCUGCUGGCCACCUCCAGUGUCACUGAGGCCACCAAAGUCACCCAGCGCUGCCAAGAGGCCACCAACGCCCUCCCUGGGCUGCUGCCACCGGGGCUGUGCUAGGGGACAAACACGUCCAUCAGGGACCGGUGGUAUCAACAACACCAUGAGAUCAUGGAGACAGCAGAUGGGGCCGUUAGGACCACCAUUCCAACCACCAAUGGAGUGAGGGCUGUCAUGAAAUAUCACCUCAGUGUCACCUCCGUGCAUCCCCUCAACACCUCCAGGGAUGCCACCACUUCCUGGUAAAAAAUGGGAAAACAGUUUUGUUUUAUAAAAAUUAUUUUGUUUUAAAAAAAUGGUUUUGCUUUAUAAAAAUGUUAUCACCUGACAAG
ensembl:lncRNA